GUUCUAUGGUCAACUUCCUGUUCACAUGUGGUCAAGGUCACUCUGAGGAAAGAGGGAAGGAAAGAAGGUUAAGAAGAAAAGAAAGAUGGUUAGAGGCAGUGAGGCUGGUGAAGUUGGAA